rnacentral:lncRNA from 10 species
GACUCUUUUCGGACUCAGCCCGCCUGCACCCAGGUGAAAUAAACAGCCAUGUUGCUCACACAAAGCCUGUUUGGUGGUCUCUUCAUACAGACGCGCAUGAAAUUUGGUGCCGUGACUCGGAUCGGGGGACCUCCCUUGGGAGAUCAAUCCCCUGUACUCCUGUUCUUUGCUCCGUGAGAAAGAUCCACCUAUGACCUCAGGUCCUCAGACCGACCAGCCCAAGGAACAUCUCACCAAUUUUAAAUCAGGACACCACUGAAAAUCGGACUGUUCAACUCACCUGGCAGCCACUCCCAGAGCCCCUGGAACUCUGGCCCAAGGCUCUCUGACUGACUCCUUCCCAGAUUUUCUCAGCUUAGCAGCUGAAGACUGACGCUGCCGGAUCGCCUCGGAAGCCCCCUAGACCAUCACGGACGCCGAGCUUCCGGUAACUCUCACAGUGGAAGACUCAGCCCGCCUGCACCCAGGUGAAAUAAACGGCCAUGUUGCUCACACAAAGCCUGUUUGGUGGUCUCUUCACACGGACGCGUGUGAAAUUUGGUGCCAAAACCCGGGUACAUCUUCCUGAAUCAGGCUUCUGAGAACUGUUCCACUUUGCAGUCCUGUUGGAUCUAUAUCUUGAGAAAUAAAUUAAAGAGCUUUUCCCUCC